rnacentral:rRNA from 1 species
GAUGAACGCUGGCGGCGUGCCUAACACAUGCAAGUCGAGCGAGAAACUCAGAAUUGACGCUUCGGUUGAUUUUCUGAGCGGAAAGCGGCGGACGGGUGAGUAACGCGUAGGCAACCUGCCCCUGACAGAGGGAUAGCAACGGGAAACUGUUAUUAAAACCUCAUAAUACACAGAAGGCUCAUGUCUUUUGUGUCAAAGAUUUAUCGGUCAGGGAUGGGCCUGCGUCUGAUUAGCUGGUUGGUGAGGUAACGGCUCACCAAGGCAACGAUCAGUAGCCGACCUGAGAGGGUGAUCGGCCACAUUGGAACUGAGACACGGUCCAAACUCCUACGGGAGGCAGCAGUGGGGAAUAUUGCACAAUGGGCGAAAGCCUGAUGCAGCAACGCCGCGUGAGCGAUGAAGGCCUUUGGGUCGUAAAGCUCUGUCCUUGGGGACGAAAAAAAUGACGGUACCCUUGGAGGAAGCCCCGGCUAACUACGUG